rnacentral:misc_RNA from 1 species
GCUAAAUCUCAAUGAAUAAAUACUUUCAAAAAUAUAAGAAUUUAAUUAUAAACUCUAUCAAAUCUCAAGAAUUAAAUUAUAAUUUAUCCAAAAUAUAACUUACUUUAGAAUAAUGCAUAGCUCUUAAGCAGGAUCACUAAGGCACGAUAACUGGAUGAUUAACGUACUAGUGGAAACAAAGGAGACCCAUCCAAGAUGGCACGUCCACAAUGAGUGAACAUUACUUAAACCUUCAAUGUGGUGCGAGUCAAUAUCAGUGAGUGAGUGGGUACGCAUGCAUCCUUUGCCAGCAAACAAAUGGGGAUUGGGCAUUACCAUUUCAACGCCUAGUCCCUUCCCCUAUGGGAUUGGGCUCCGCCUGAGAUCUACAACAAAGUCACAAUCCAGAGCACUGGUCACUCCUCAGCCCCUAUUACUCAGAAGUUUCCUAGGUGUCUUGCUUUUAUCCAAUCCAGAGCAGAAAAAUGUUCGCGAGCGACUUCAAAGGCCAAGGAAAAUUUUAUAUUGUCUGUUGCCAUAUUACAGAUGAAUCCCCAACACUAUACACUGCUAUAAUGUGGAGUUUACUUGUAUUUAUUUUAUACAAUCAUCCAGUGUAGAACACUAAUCCAAAACUCCCACUACUCUUUCUAUUAGUGAUACUUCUUUCUCCUACUGAUACUUCUUUGUCCAAUGCUCUUCCCUACAUUGGCCACAAAUGGAGAAAUGCCUAAAUUUGCUACCAUGUUUGGAAGUCAUAUUUAGCUGCACUUUAUCCAGCAGCCAUUAAUUCUGAAAGAAAGUACAGUAAUUCAGAGAAAUUGUAGUCAGACGUGCUAUAAACCCAAAGGCUAAACUGCAACAAGAAAUAUCUGCCAUGUGAACCAACAAAUGGAACCUUCUCUACGAAUCAAGGUUCAGAAAAAAAAAAUUCCAACCUGAAACCAUGCCUUGCCCAUUGUAAUGAUGGUGAUCUCGUCUUUAUCCAUAAAAGAAUAUAUUUUUCUUCAAAUCAUAUGUCAAGAAUUAUUCAUCCUGCAGCUUUGACGUAUCACUAAUUAGUGCAAAAAGGAUUUCGUUCCAUGUGUCAGGAACACCAGGUAGACACCAAUGCAAGCAAUCCUGCACUCCAGGCGAGGCAGUAAUGCUAAAUCGUGAUAUGUGGCCCUCAUCCCUCAGCUGGGACAGAGCUGUUAUGUCCAAGAGCUUAACCCCUGUCCCUUUUACUGCAUUGCCAGCACUAUAAUCGCUAGACUCAUCUUGCAAUACUUCCUUUCCAACAGACAUAGGGGUUGUAUUGUCACAGCUUCCCCCAGUGUUCCAGUCGCCAUUAACAAAAUGCCUAGGUGAGAUGCUCCGAUAGAAGGCUUUUAAGCGUGGAUAUUUUGGAAGUUGUUUGUUCACCCAAUUGACAAUGCUGUGGAUUGUGAAAUUUUUGGCAUCUCCAAUCAUUGCCAGCUUCUUGUUGGUGUUGGGCAUGCCAUCCACAUGGAUGACCCAAUGAUUUGCCCUAAGCUUCCCUCGGUUCCAAUGAUGCCCUGUGUUGAGAACAAGGACAUCCAUUUUGUGAAGAAACAGAUGCAAAAAUGCAGGUGGCCGAUCAAGAUGCAUGGCAUAAUCAGUGGCUGGGUUUUUUUUAUCAAUAGGUUCCAAGUCACAAAGGCAAGCUGACCAGUAAUAGAGCACAGUGGUGUUGGUGCUUGGAAACUGAAAUGCCCACCCAUUAGGGCGGACACCACCCCGAGGUUUGACAAGUGCAUACUCCUGUCCCACAUCGAUGACAUCAGGCCUCUCUUUUCCACCAGUGAUCAUGCACAUAAGAGACUGGAACUGCUGUCUGCCCAGUGAAUCUCCAACAAAAGCUAGAGUCUUGUCUUGCAUCCUUUUUAAGAACUUAGCCCCUUCAAAUUCUUCCAUUUGGCAAUUGUUCGGUUGCCAGCGUAGCUUCUCAUAAGCAAAAUCUGUUCGUUGUGUCAACUGGCAGGCCCACAUCUGUGCAAGCCAUUGCUUACAACCAAGACCAGAAUACAAAGGCCUACUAUUAUCUACAACCCAUUUCCCUUUUUUAUAAUUACAGCCUGGGUUAUUCACAAGUGUUGUAAAAUUCUUCUUGUCUUGUUCCCCCAUGGAAGAGUUUGUACUUGCAGAACCCAUUGGUGUUGCUAAAUCCAUGGUUUGUUCAUUUCGUUUCAGAUGUUUUUCUCCUAUGUUCUGGUCGUGCUUUCCUUCUGCUUCUGUUGGAGUAGAACUCUCAGCAGUGCCAUUUUCUUUUAAUUCCACCACCCGAUUGUCUUUAGCUUCUAUUUCUGUUGCAGAAGAGCUUGCCCUUCCUUUGGCUUCUGACAAAGGAGAACUUAGUCCACUGUCAUUUUUUUCGACUUGCGGGACCUGUUUAUUUUGCACUUCUGUAUCCUCUGUAGCUGGGGGAGUUUCUUUCUCUGGAUGUGAAUAGCUACUUGCAGUAUUCUGACCAGCCACAGCUACAUCUUUGCUCCCUUGAAAAUGCGGUUCUGAAGAUGCUUGAGGUAGCUGGAAAUGCUCUUUAGGUGGAAGUAUGGUAGUAACAAAUGGGGUUCUGUCCCAUGCCCAUAUGAGAAUGACUGUGCCCAGAAUAACAAUGAGAAGAAGAAAGAAUUCUUUACCCCUGAAACUGGAAAAGCCUCCUCUCAUCCUGAGAAGCACGAAUCUGUGAAGACAGAUUUUAGGAAUUGCCAGAAAAAGGAACUAUAGGAAAGGAAUGUCCAUAGCUGGAGGACGUAAUAUAGAAUAGAAAAGAACAAAUUUGGAGAUAUAAGGACAGGAAGA